rnacentral:rRNA from 1 species
CGGACGGGUGAGUAACACGUGGAUAACCUACCUAUAAGACUGGGAUAACUUCGGGAAACCGUAGCUAAUACCGGAUAAUAUUUUGAACCGCAUGGUUCAAAAGUGAAAGACGGUCUUGCUGUCACUUAUAGAUGGAUCCGCGCUGCAUUAGCUAGUUGGUAAGGUAACUGCUUACCAAGGCAACGAUGCAUAGCCGACCUGAGAGGGUGAUCGGCCACACUGGAACUGAGACACGGUCCAG